rnacentral:tRNA from 1 species
CAUCACAUGGCUGAAAGUAAGUGAGGGGCUCUUAAACCAAAAAAUAGUAAAUCAACAAAUACUUCUGAU